UGGCGGCGUGCUUAACACAUGCAAGUCGAAACGCGAAAGGGACUUCGGUCCUGAGUAAAGUGGCGGCACGGGUGAGUAACGCGUAGAUAACCUGUCUUCAUGUCUGGAAUAAUACGCCGAAAGGGGUACUAAUACCGGAUAUUCUUGCUUUUCAUAAGUUAUGCAAGCAAAGGUGGCCUCUGCAUAUGCUACUGCAUGAAGAGGGGUCUGCGUACCAUUAGCUAGUAGGUGGGGUAAUGGCCUACCUAGGCGACGAUGGUUAGCGGGUCUGAGAGGAUGAUCCGCCACACUGGCACUGGAACACGGGCCAGACUCCUACGGGAGGCAGCAGUGAGGAAUAUUGCGCAAUGGGGGAAACCCUGACGCAGCGACGCCGCGUGAGUGAGGAAGGCCUUCGGGUCGUAAAGCUCUGUCAAGAGGAAAGAAGUGUACAAUGGCUAAUACCUGUUGUAUUUGACGGUACCUCUAAAGGAAGCACCGGCUAACUCCGUGCCAGCCGCCGC
rnacentral:rRNA from 1 species